CGGAGACACCUUUUGUUGAAAGACCCUGCACUACCAAGACACGUGUUCAUACGUGCUGAAUCUUCAGUAAACUUUCUGUCUCGGUUUGUUGCAUUUGGGUCCAAAGCCUGACGUCCCUGACAGAAGGUAAGAAAAGAGACACACCUUUCUGAGAGCUUGGUUCGUCCUGAGUCCCCACCCUCGACCGUCUGUCUUCACCACUUCUGUCUCUGCGUACUGCCUCUUAGAGAAACACUGGUUUUCACAGCUCAUCCCUGCUGGACACACCUGGGAAGACGCGGCCCUGGUUGAUCCAGUAGUAAUCAUGGGAACCAAAGAAGAAGACGGGGAAGUCACCGAUGUCAUGACGAAGGCUCUGGAUGUUGGACGGAACCAAACGAGGGUUGCAGAUUUCAGCUGGCCACCACCUGCAGCGGAACAAGAUGUGAAAUGUUAAAACAAUGGAAAUAAUCAUAAUAACCAAAAAUAAGGACAUGGACAUUUAAUUGAGAAAUUUUAAAUUAUGGAUAUUAUCAAAAUUUGAUUAUUAUGCUGCUGACUUUACUUUGGCAUUAACUAUAAAAGAAAAUUAACACAUGAAUAAAAGAGCAUUUUUUUAUGCUUAUUUGCAAAGUGCUACUUUAACUUUUAAUAUUUUUUUUAAUCAUGUGACACACGGGAAGUAAAACAAGUAUUUCCACGGUAAAGGUAAGCAUUUAUAACAUGGUCUGCAAUUGUUUCUGGAUAAUUCUGCUUGAAUUAAAACCCAUGUAAAGUUUGAAGGAUUUAACAGAAUUUAAAAGAUACACAAAAAGCCACAUCUCUGCUGCUGUGUAUGCUGUAAAUGAGUGGUUGGUUUUUAGCUGUGAGGCAGGAAGACGACACCCAGCUUCAGUGUCAAACACUGUUUAUCACUGAGUGACUACCAAACAGUGAACCUUCAGAAUGAAGGGAAAGAUGCCUGAGGAGAAAACUGAGGGCUGAUACAGCGCAGUAGAUGUGUCUUGGCACAGUUUGAUUAAAGUUAAAUAAAAUAUUCCUCCAGUGACUGUUUUGUUAAAACAUUUUACCUGCUGUAAAAUCUCAAAGAAAGACUCAAGUACUCAAAAAUGGGUGGUAUGCUAUUUUUAUGCGAACUGAUAUGCUAACUUUCUUAACUGAUACAUUUCCCUUAAUUGAUACAUUUUUAUACAAAAUAAAAUAAAACAAAUGUAUUUCUAUUUUCCAUUAAAGUGUGAGAAAUAAGUUGUUUAACAUAUGAAAAGCAUCAUAAAAAAUGACUGUGUUCAAAUAACGGUAAUUUGAAGCUGAAAAUAAAAACGUUUUGUAAUUUUGCCCUUUUUUAUUAUCUGUUUAUAAAUCC